rnacentral:rRNA from 1 species
UACAGAGGUCUCAAGCGUUUGUUCGGAUUCAUUGGGCGUAAAGGGUGCGUAGGCGGCGCGGUAAGUCGGGUGUGAAAUCUCGGGGCUUAACUCCGAAACUGCAUUCGAUACUGCCGUGCUUGAGGACUGGAGAGGAGACUGGAAUUUACGGUGUAGCGGUGAAAUGCGUAGAUAUCGUAAGGAAGACCAGUGGCGAAAGGCGGGUCUC